UUGGUUUGUAAUUAUUAAUAAACUUACUGGCUUUCAUAACUGAAGGGAAAUAUUUGUAAUUUGUUUAUAUUUCAUAUUAAUUUUAUGUUAGAGAACAUUACAAUAUCUAACUUAUUGUCACUCUAAACAAUAUAGUAUGUGUGGAUAUUUUGCUUUAAAAAACACGUAAUUAAACAAUUUGCAUUAAGCUUAUUAUCGCGUUCAACACCAUAUAAGCAGAAGAGAGCGGGGUUUAAGAAUAUCACACACGUCAUUGGUUCUUUCGUGCAACGUCAACGCUCCGAAUUUGAAUUUGAGGAAGUGUGAAAGCAGUUUUUUAUUGUUGUUGUUGUUGCGCAAGUAUAAACUUGAUCUUCGGUUCUUCCUGGUUCACCCCUAUUUGAGAGAUCCUUCCUCAGCUGGGAAAUAGCCUUAAAUAUGAGGAAACCUCCAUUCAGAAGAUUGAUCCUGUUCAUCAUCAUGCAGCAGAUUUUGUUUUUAGUGUAAUCAUUUCCACUUCAUUGACAAUAAGUUAUUGGUGGCUUGCCAGUGAACCAGACACUAUCCAAGACUGAUCAUCCACUAUGAAGAACCUUCUAGUGGUGCUGACCUCCAGAUCCACCCUAUGAAGGUCGUUCAUAUAAGAAUAAGCCAUUAUCUAGUUUAUUUUUGUGUCAGUUCUUCAUCAUUACUGUGAAUCAGUGUUACAGUGGUGUUUAUAUCAAACAUUGUAAUUCAGAAGCUUUGGUGCCAUUAGACUUUAAAAACUUGUUCUAAAUUGUUGAAUCUGUCACAACUCUUGCAGUCAUCACUUUUGAAUUGAUUAACUACAUCAAUCACAUUUAGAAGAACCAGAACCUUAUACAGUAUACACUUUUAAAAAUAAAGAUUCCAGAAGUGAGGCAUUUGAAGCAAUGCCAUAUAAGGAACAAUUCUGAGUUCCAAAAAGAACCAUUUUUGUCUUAGUUUGUAGA